GACGUAGGGUGCGAGCGUUGUUCGGAUUCAUUGGGCGUAAAGGGUGCGUAGGCGGCGCGGUAAGUCGGGUGUGAAAUCUCGGAGCUUAACUCCGAAACUGCAUUCGAUACUGCCGUGCUUGAGGACUGGAGAGGAGACUGGAAUUUACGGUGUAGCGGUGAAAUGCGUAGAUAUCGUAAGGAAGACCAGUGGCGAAGGCGGGUCUCUGGACAGUUCCUGACGCUGAGGCACGAAGGUCAGGGGAGCAAACGGG
rnacentral:rRNA from 1 species